GCCCGCGCGAGACGGGGAGCGAGCGAGCCGGAGAGGAGCCGGCCAUCGGGCAGCGCCGGACCCGCCUCCCCACCCGAACUCCAGUGCACAUGGUGCGAUGAAAUAUGUUGGGGAGGAAGUACCAAUAAAAAGAAUCAUCACCCGGCAGACUUCUGAAUGAUGAAUAACUGGCAUUGAAAUUCAUCAGCAACCAAGGAGUCAAAUGCUAGAUAUACUGCAUUGUGCCAAGAGUUCUGCUAUCCUCUGGAAGUAUGUUAUGAUGAGAUCAAAGAAAUGAAAUAUUACCUCGCUGCAGACAGACAGGUCUGCCUACACCCUACCGAGGUGCCCAGUAAUGCGGAACACACACCAAAUCAGCCCACUGCAGACAGGCAGGUCUGUGCAUGCCCUACCAAGGUCCUGAGUCACGCGGAAGACACUGAAUCACCCCGCUGCAGACAGGCAGCCACCUGAUUCCACAUUACCAAGGUGCAGAGGACACCAGACCACCAGACCAAGAUUCCAGAAACACAACAGAAGAACAAAGUUCUACAAGCAGUGAGAGAAAAGAAACAAAUCACAUACAAAGGAAAGCCUAUCAGAAUCACAGCAGACUUCUCAACACAAACCAUCAAGGCAAGAAGAGCUUGGAGUGACAUUCCAAGCCCUAAAAGAAAACAGCCUCCAACCCAGAUUGAUGUUCCCUGCAAAACUAUCUUUCAAAAUGGAUGGAGGAAUAAGAUACUUUCAUGACAAAGAG
rnacentral:lncRNA from 1 species